ACCUAAUGGUGGUAGAGUGGUGGUGGUGGUACCGGUGAAGCAGUAGAGGAAGAAAUUUAUUCUAUUUUGAAAUACAAGAAAAUAUUAUAUGGACGAGAGUAUCAAGUGGUUUACAUGCGUACAUGGUACAACAUCUGACUAGUGCCAUUCAAGAUCAAGAUGACACUUAAGCAUUGGUUCCCAAUUAUGAGAAAGAGAGAGUAGCUGUGCACAAAUGAAUAAUAACCAAUAAUGCUAGGUUUACGGGGGCUCAAUCCCGUGAGAAAUUCCGCUCCUCACAUGACCUGGGACCCACCACAACCUUUUCCUAUCCAAAUGCAGAGAUGCAUUCCCCUCUCCGUCCGAUCCCCUCACAGGAUUUCACCCGAGUUUUUUGGGUGCGAGUGUAGCAUCCCUCAAUAAUAACACAUUAGUAAUUCUAAAUAUUUGUUCUCUAUCAUCUUUUUCUUUUAAAAAUGGCUAAUUCUGUCUUUUACUGCUAUAAAUAAAAAAUGAAAUUAUAAGA